GGUACUUGAAGAAGAGGAACAAACAUGGAAGGUGUUUUAGUCACUUUUCUGUUGCCAUGAUGAAACACCAACCAAACACAACUUGGGGGAGGAAAGAGUUUCUUGGCUUACACUCACACGCCAGUCCAUCACUGAGGAAAGCUCGGGGCAUGAGCUCAAGGCAGGAUUGCUGUUUACUGGCUUGUCCCCAGACUUGGGGAUCAGACUUGCUGUCCCUGUUUUUAUUGUGGCAAGCGCUGCCCCUCUGGGCUCAAUCUACCAUCAGAAACUAAAUGCCUGCUGCUCUGUGGUCUCGGCUGGAGUCGCCCUUCUGCCUGGCUUGCUUAUGGCUCACCACGCUCUGGCUUCGAGGCAGGAAGUGCUUCUUCACCACAGUGGUUUCCAGAGUGUUUUGAAAGCUGCUGGAUCUCAGGACUCUCUUCUUUUGGGGGGAGUCCUAAUUUGGGUGGCUUUGGCGAGCUCUUGCCACAGGUCUCCCUGUCCCUCCAAGACAGCUGAGGGCAAAGCCCUUGUCUCCACCACACAGCCUAACUUAAGUCUCCAGGCAGAAAUCAGCAGUGUGGUAACAAGACAAACCGAGAGCCUGAAGCCCUGAUCUGCAGGCCUGGAGUCUCCGUAGUUCACUCCAAGUUUUUCAAUGGUGCUUUGGUUGUUUUGUUCUGUUUUCCUUCCAAACACAUGGUGGACACAAAAUUAAAUUGAAAUUCCAUUUUCUCCCUCCCUGUUCACUCCCUACCCUUCUCAGCAUCCUUUUGUUGGGGGGGACAAAGCACAGAGGUUUCCUGUCAAGGAAGGGUCUCUUCUGUUCUUCGAGGAGACCGGAUAGCAGCGUGGCAGAACUAUUUUAAUCACACUUACUGUGUUUUCAGCAAAACACAUGCUCCUCCCCCCAAAAACAACUGCAAGGAAAAAAGGCUCAUUUUCCAAGAGAGUUCUGGAAAGCCACACUAGCCAGAGGAAACCACUUGCAGCAAAUGAGAAACUAAACCAGGCUUAGUUUAAGCGCUGAGCUCCCUGAGAGAGACUCCCGUGAAAACCUUCAUCAUUCUCCUCCCCCUCUCCUAUGAAACCCUGUCUGCGGGUGCAGCCAGCCUCAGUAUCCAGGAAGGCUCCUCAGGACAGACCAGCCAAUCAGCCUUUGAUGUUUCCUUUCUUAAUGGAGAGGAUGUGUCUUACCAGUUUCCCAUUCAAACGUACAGCAUGAGACCGGCGAUGACUCAGUGGAUAAAAGUGCUUGCUGCCAAGCCCGACGAUCUGAGUUCUAUCUCUGGGUCCCACACGGUGAAAGGAGAAAACUAACUCUCGGGAUUUGUUCUCUGACCUCCACAGAACACACAGAGAGAAAACAUUUAAAAAAACGAAAAUAUACGUAGCUCUUCCUUAUUUGCAGAGUAUCUGUUCAAAAAGUUCCAGUGGACAGGGCCAAUUCUUUGUAUGUAAUGUGCUUUUGUCUUAUAUGAAACUGCUAUGGGCUGGGGGAUAAGUCACUGGGUAGAGUGCUUGCCUAGCAUAAAACUGAGAACAGCAACUCAAUGCCUGUAAGAUCCAAGGUUAAAGGUAGAGACAGGAGCGUCAGAAACUCAAGAUCAACCUUGGCUACUAUGUGAGUUCGAGGUUAGCCUGGAUUACAUGAGAUGAUGUCUCAAAGCCAACACACACACACACACACACACACACACACACACACACACACACACACACACCACCCUCAAAGACAGUAUUCCUGGGUAAGGAAGUAGUCCCCAGCCCUGAAACACCUAUGAGGAGAGACUCCCCUAUCCUUUCCCCUUGACUCUGGUAUCUGAAGCUGCUUGGCCAACAGACCUUGGGUAAGAGACCCACAGGUUCCCUUCUCCAAGAGUCAAGAAACUGUCAGUAUCUAAGUCCUGUCAUGUUCCUGGAACCAGAUACCAUACCAUGAGGGGACCAUUGACACAGAGUGCUGGAGAUUUCAAGUCAACCAUAUAGACAUAAAGACAGCCUGUCAACAUGGCUUCAGUCACAGCUGUCACCCGACUAAGGUAAAAGAGGGAGGAAGUAAUUUAGGUACAGUACAAAAAUAAAUAAAUAAGGAUUUCAAAGCAAUGUAGUGUUAAUCCAUAACAGCGGGGCUGUGAGUGGCUGCACAGGCCUUAUAUCCACAAAGUUGAUCCCAGGGCACCGCCUGACCUUGUGUCAUGGCUACGCACUGUUUGCUCCAGUCCUGCAAGUCUUUGAUCCUCCUGCUGGUGACUGCACAAUUUUAAUCUGAAGACCCACCUCCCUAAAGAUGAUUUAGAUGGGGCCAACACCACUUUACCAUUCCAGGGGCAGGCAUGCGAUCUGUCCUGACCAACAAGAGCAUCGAAUCCCCCUGGUUAUCAUUGAUUCGUGGAAGGGUGUGGUAGCAGAGCCGAUGAGAACCAAGGCUCAGAAUUUUGCUGCAAGAACAGAGCUGACUCCUGGAGCAGCAGAGUUGGCCAGAAGCAAGCUUCCUGCGACACCAGCCGGGGAAGCAUCCCUGAGACGAAGCUGGUACUGAUGAAGGGAGCUGAGAUGGUGGCAGUGAAGAAUCCUGCCAGCAUCAUUCCCACAUGCAGUCCGGGGACCCAACGGCCUUUGCUGAUUGUCUUCUUCCUUCCCUCCUACCCUCCUUCCUCCACCCCGACUCUGUAUCAGCUAGCAUAUCUCCUGCUUGGUCUCAGCUAGCGUCUGUUGUGCUUCAGUCACUGGAAAUCAAGAAGGAUCUGACUAAAUGGGCUGCGGCUUAAUGAAUGAAUGCCUCUCAGUCUGAUGCUAGGCCGCCAACCUUGAAGAAGUCCAUUGUCUGCCUCUCUCGCCCUCCUUUGCUCAGUUCCGUCUGACUGGAGAAUCAGGGCAAGAAACAAAACAGCCCAGAGAGACUGCGCUGAGUUAUUGAAAGUGAGAAUCUAGCAGUAUGUUAAGACGUCAUCUCUCAUUUGUACUCUUCGAAUCCUUGGUGCCUGCUUUGAAACCGGAUCUUUCCAAGAACGGGACCAGGAUGCCUCACAGUCCUAGGAUGGAAAGUUCCAGGCCUUUGUGCAGCACCCCUCCUACUGUCAUCUUAGAAAAGAUUAUACAAGUGUGCAGUGACCUGCCCCAGACUGAAUUUGCAACUCCAAGAUCUAGAAAAAAAGUGCAUUGCUCUCAUUCCAUCAGAGAGCUUUUUGUGCAUUGAUGACCUUUGCUGAUGUCACGGACCAAGAAGAGGCAAAACAAAACAGUCCAAGGUAUUCCUUUUCUAGGACACAAUACAUACUUACCAUGUAUACAAGUAAAACGCCUCAGUGGGAGUGGGGAGAGGGAGGGAGAGCUAAUAGCUAGCUCUGUCAGCUGCUUGAUAGCUGCUGGUCUGAGUUUCAGGCUGUCUCUGAGAACCCAACCCUCUUAGCAUCUGCACAAGUGUCUAGACUAAAGAGUGCCAGUCUGGACAGCCAGGCAUCUGGUCCGUGAGAAGGAUCCCACUGAAGAGGAUCCUGUGAGAACCAUGUGGAGUUCCUGUGGAGCCAUAACCACACACGGAGGGACACUGGCUCCCCUGAGACGUCCUGGUUGAGCCUCAGCUUACUUUAGGGACUAUGGGCCCUGGGGUUAGAGAGCUCACCUAAAAUAUCCACGGUACUCGUAACUCUUUCCUGCUGCAUGGAGGCGAGCAUCCCAUAGAUGCGGAUGAUGAAAUCAAUAACUAUGUCCUUUGGGGGAUGGUUCUGACCCUUCAACAUCAGUGAGAUUGAAAUUGAACUUCCCUCCCCUCAUUGUGUUAGUAUAACUGCCUACGAAGGUCUCACUGUGUGCCGCAUAGAGGAUUAGGCACGAAGUCAUUUAGGGAUGCUGAGGGUGGGACCCAGGGCCUCAUCACACAUCCUAGGCAAGCCCUCUGACACUGAGCUAGGGCCCGCUCCCAAGCAUCCUUGCACAGAAUUACAAACGAGACCCAGGAACUCACAUGACUUUUAGAACCUCACACAAGGCCUGGAACUUGUCUGUUCCCGUCUCCUUGUCCCCUCUCUCCCUCUGAAGAUCUUUCCUGUUCUUCACUGAGCCCAUGUCUGAGGAUCUGCUAUGGUACAGUGAACUGAAGACUGUCAAAACAAACCAGGCCUCCUUUGAUUUUAUGUGAUAGAGUUCCUCCUGAAAAGCUAUACUCAUGCUAGACAUUCUACUAGUCUGACUGAUUAAAUUACUGUAGUCGUAAGGAAACGGCAUGGCACAACUUGGGAGCCAAAGUCUCUUGGAGUAUCUUGACCUUCUAAAUAACCUUUUAUUGCUCAACUCUAUGUGUGAGCUAUCAUCAUUGUGACUAUUGGGUAAAUCUGUUUAGAAUGCACAAGCAGACCCCAAGCAAAAGGCUAAGAAUGCCAUGAGGAAGCAUCUGAAGGUCUAACACAGGCUCCCUUGCCUUGCUGUGACCCCAUCUGCCAGAUGUUUCCCACCAGUGUAUGGGAGAAGCAUCUUGCUUUGCCAAUGUCUUUGUUCCAUUACUGUAAACAUUUGAUGAAACUAUACCAAGUUAGAACAUGGUACUUGGGGCUGCCUGAGCUUACAUUUGACUCCAGAACAGACUAUGUCCUAUUCCCUUUGAGGUGAGAGCUGGGCUUUUUGUUGUUGUCUGUUUUGUUUUUGUACUGACAGUUGCAGGAUGCUAUAAAUUGAAGUCCAGAAUAAGUAACAGCUUAUACCAAGAAGAUCCAUAGCCAAAGAGGCACUUAGGCUAACACAGCAGCUUUACACCAGAGGUCACGGUCAGAGUCCCUGAGAUAUUCUGCAUCCUCCUCGAGAUUCUAAUAGGACUGCAGCAGCUCCCAGCCCAUGGCUUCACAUGACAAUGUCCAAAGACAGGAAGAAGGUUGCGUCAUGGGACCAUUGCUAUGGCAGCUCCCACCAGAGAGAGUUCUUUAGACAUCGGCACAUUCCUUCCCGGGGCAGAAGAGGUGUACAGAAAUGCAGGCUUUGACAGCAUAAACAAAAUAAAUAAUUUUAUCUCACAUGCUGCAAGGUGAGCAUGGUUUCUACUGAAAUCCAGAAGGGGCCGGUGAGAUGCCUCUGUGCACACAGGUGCUUUCCUUCAACCCAGACAACCUGAGCUCAACCCAAGACCUAAAUGUUGUAAGACGACAAUCAACUCCAGCAAGUUGUCCUCUGACUUGUGGCAUGUGCCUGUUUGCAUAAAAGCAAGUAUGACAAAAA